AACGAACGCUGGCGGCAGGCCUAAUACAUGCAAGUCGAACGCCUGUAGCAAUACAGGAGUGGCAGACGGGUGAGUAACGCGUGGGAAUCUACCCAGUGGUACGGAAUAACCCAGGGAAACUUGGGCUAAUACCGUAUGAGCCCGAAAGGGGAAAGAUUUAUCGCCAUUGGAUGAGCCCGCGUCGGAUUAGCUUGUUGGUGGGGUAACGGCCUACCAAGGCUACGAUCCGUAGCUGGUCUGAGAGGAUGAUCAGCCACACUGGGACUGAGACACGGCCCAGACUCCUACGGGAGGCAG
rnacentral:rRNA from 1 species